UAUUUUAAUUUCAAUUCAAAA
rnacentral:snRNA from 1 species